CACCCUACAGCAAAGCAGGCUGUCAUCACAGCAAUUGAUUUAUUAGGCAGUUAUAAAUGCAGCUGAAAGUGGUAUAUCGUUCCCACUGAAAAGAAGAGACCAGUUACUUGACUAUAUAUUAACGUUAAUGGGCACAGAUGAGGAAGAUGGAUUUUCUGAAUCCAACAUUGAGCAUCUGCGCACUCAGUCGCUUGCUUUAAGUGCCUGCACUACUCUGGUUUCCGUAGAGCCAAAAUUGACUACUGAAACAAGAAACCUUGUUAUGAAGGCCACUAUUGGAUUUUUCGGUUUGCCGAAUGAGCCUGCUGAUGUUAUUGACCCCCUUAUUGGCAACCUGAUUACUCUUUUAUGUACAAUACUUAUUACAAGUGGAGAGGAUGGAAG
rnacentral:misc_RNA from 1 species